ACCGGGUAAGUUCUACACAACCAGCUCCUGCCAAAUCCCCCAGGGUGGGAACGCAGCAAGGGUAGGCGGUUGUAGCGGUGUGAUGUAGGUCGCUUACCCU
rnacentral:SRP_RNA from 1 species